UACGUAGGGGGCAAGCGUUGUCCGGAUUUAUUGGGCGUAAAGAGCGUGUAGGCGGCCAGGUAGGUCCGUUGUGAAAACUCGAGGCUCAACCUCGAGACGCCGAUGGAAACCAUCUAGCUAGAGUCCGGAAGAGGAGAGUGGAAUUCCUGGUGUAGCGGUGAAAUGCGCAGAUAUCGGGAGGAACACCCGUAGCGAAGGCGGCACUCUGGGCCGGAACUGACGCUGAGGAGCGAAAGCGUGGGGAGCAAACAGG
rnacentral:rRNA from 1 species